GAUAACUCCGGGAAACCGGGGCUAAUACCGGAUAACAUCUAGCACCUCCUGGUGCCGGAUUAAAAGAGGGCUUCUUGCUCUCACGAUGAGAUGGGCCCGCGGCGCAUUAGCUAGUUGGAGAGGUAACGGCUCCCCAAGGCGACGAUGCGUAGCCGACCUGAGAGGGUGAUCGGCCACACUGGGACUGAGACACGGCCCAGACUCCUACGGGAGGCAGCAGUAGGGAAUCUUCCGCAAUGGACGAAAGUCUGACGGAGCAACGCCGCGUGAGUGAUGAAGGGUUUCGGCUCGUAAAGCUCUGUUAUGAGGGAAGAACACGUACCGUUCGAAUAGGGCGGUACCUUGACGGUACCUCAUCAGAAAGCCACGGCUAACUACGUGCCAGCAGCCGCGGUAAUACGUAGGUGGCAAGCGUUGUCCGGAAUUAUUGGGCGUAAAGCGCGCGCAGGCGGCCUUUUAAGUCUGAUGUGAAAUCUUGCGGCUCAACCGCAAGCGGCCAUUGGAAACUGGGAGGCUUGAGUACAGAAGAGGAGAGUGGAAUUCCACGUGUAGCGGUGAAAUGCGUAGAUAUGUGGAGGAACACCAGUGGCGAAGGCGACUCUCUGGUCUGUAACUGACGCUGAGGCGCGAAAGCGUGGGGAGCAAACAGGAUUAGAUACCCUGGUAGUCCACGCCGUAAACGAUGAGUGCUAGGUGUUAGGGGUUUCGAUGCCCGUAGUGAGGCUUGAGUACAGAAGAGGAGAGUGGAAUUCCACGUGUAGCGGUGAAAUGCGUAGAUAUGUGGAGGAACACCAGUGGCGAAGGCGACUCUCUGGUCUGUAACUGACGCUGAGGCGCGAAAGCGUGGGGAGCAAACAGGAUUAGAUACCCUGGUAGUCCACGCCGUAAACGAUGAGUGCUAGGUGUUAGGGGUUUCGAUGCCCGUAGUGCCGAAGUUAACACAUUAAGCACUCCGCCUGGGGAGUACGGCCGCAAGGCUGAAACUCAAAGGAAUUGACGGGGGCCCGCACAAGCAGUGGAGCAUGUGGUUUAAUUCGAAGCAACGCGAAGAACCUUACCAGGUCUUGACAUCCUUUGACCACUCUGGAGACAGAGCUUCCCCUUCGGGGGCAAAGUGACAGGUGGUGCAUGGUUGUCGUCAGCUCGUGUCGUGAGAUGUUGGGUUAAGUCCCGCAACGAGCGCAACCCUUGACCUUAGUUGCCAGCAUUUAGUUGGGCACUCUAAGGUGACUGCCGGUGACAAACCGGAGGAAGGUGGGGAUGACGUCAAAUCAUCAUGCCCCUUAUGACCUGGGCUACACACGUGCUACAAUGGAUGGUACAAAGGGUUGCGAAGCCGCGAGGUGAAGCCAAUCCCAUAAAGCCAUUCUCAGUUCGGAUUGUAGGCUGCAACUCGCCUGCAUGAAGCUGGAAUUGCUAGUAAUCGCGGAUCAGCAUGCCGCGGU
rnacentral:rRNA from 2 species